rnacentral:ncRNA from 1 species
UAGUAAGCGAUGAAAAGAUGAGUAGUCGAGUUAACCUGUUAAGAGAGCUGGGGGUGCUGAAAACCAGUCAGGCGAAUCGAUGAAGAUGGUCUUCGAGUAAACUUAGCUGAGUUUUAGACGAGGUUAGGUUGGGUAAUGCCCAUUAACGCAUUGAAGUUCAGCAACGUUGGACUUUAAGUUGCCUAGUGUGAGCUAGGUAAAAAGUUAAGGUGGUACCGCGAGAAUCGUCGCCCUUGAA